rnacentral:rRNA from 1 species
GACGAACGCUGGCGGCGUGCUUAACACAUGCAAGUCGAACGGACAGGCCCUGCUUUUGUGGGGUGCUCGAGUGGCGAACGGGUGAGUAACACGUGAGUAACCUGCCCUUGACUUUGGGAUAACUUCAGGAAACUGGGGAUAAUACCGGAUAGGAGCUCCUGCUGCAUGGGGGGGGUUGGAAAGUUUCGGCGGUUGGGGAUGGACUGGCGGCUUAUCAGCUUGUUGGUGGGGUAGUGGCUUACCAAGGCUUUGACGGGUAGCCCGCCUGAGAGCGUGACCGGCCACAUUGGGACUGAGAUACGGCCCAGACUCGUACGGGAGGCAGCAGUGGGGAAUAUUGCACAAUGGGCGGAAGCCUGAUGCAGCAACGCCGCGUGCGGGAUGACGGCCUUCGGGUUGUAAACCGCUGUCGCCUGUGACGAAGCGUGAGUGACGGUAAUGGGUAAAGAAGCACCGGCUAACUACGUG